UAAGUCGUGAUGAGUUUUUCUAUCAGUACAGAUAAUCUGGAAAAACUCGUCAUGACUGAUA
rnacentral:pre_miRNA from 1 species